CACCAUUAUAUACGCUGAUCUACAGACUGAUUGCGUAGAAACGAUUCGAUGAAUCUGAUGCUCGAGCAGCAGGUGAACUGUUGUCUACGUGGAUGUCUACAGCUGCAUACGAGAUGGCCUAUUCGACGUUGGUAGGCAGUGCAUGUACUUGACUGUCAUCCGCCUCAUAUUGCUGGUAAGGUAUGAUCGUGCCCUGCAUCUCGUGUCACUGGCAUGAUGCAAAAAAUACGGUGUAUAUUUUGAAGCACAACCUACCAUGCUGGGCAUAAUAAACUGAAGUUCAUUAUGACUACAAAAACAAUGGAUGCGAACACUCUCAUGAAACGAAAACGUAAGGAAUUCGUAGAUCUAGUCGUGUCGCACUCUCUGACUCCAUACUUCCUGCGUCUUCAAAACGAGCAAAUGCCAUCCACGCCUUUUCUGGGUAAUGAGAAAAAAAGGAGACACUCGUUAUCCCGUGUGCUCGAUGUCAUUGAGAAGGUCAACAAGUUUCUCAACAGAGACGAUGAUUCUCUAUUCAAAGGAGGGACUUUUAUCCCUUGUGGGAGCAUCGCUGAACGAACGAAAGUAGGAGACAUUGAUGAAUUUGAUUUCCAGUAUUUGGUCACGUUGGAUGACGUCGAGGCAACAAGGAAGGUUCACCCACAGACACGGUCAAGAGAUGGACCAACCAACUUUGGCGGUAAGUGCUUCUAUGUGUUGACAAAGACUGGACUUGAUGAACGAAGGGAGACAUUAGUGGCCAGAGAUAUCCAGGACAAGUUCAUGGCUGAUGUAUGCAGGGCUGUAUUGGACAUGAAGAUUUGUUCAAAGAAGGCUGGUCCUGCAGUCAAAUUAGUUAUACCAGACGAGAAUCUUCCUUACAUCAUCAAGAUUGACUUGACAUUUGGUAUCAAAGCUAAUGUGCGGGAGCUGUUUCAAGAAAGUGAGCUAACCCCUCUUGGUGUUCGACUUCUACACCAGUCGGAACUGAAGUCUCACUUUGUCCCCUCCAUGGAUUAUUGGAAGGUUUGCUUUGUGGAAACAGAGCAGGAACUAAUGCGCAGAAUCUGUCUGUGAGGGGCCCAAAAAGAGUCUCUACGAAGAGUACCUGAACAUGUAUAGUGAAAAUUCAAACUACAUACGGGGAUCAUGCUACAGAAUUGUCAAGUGUCUUCGUGAUGAGUUUAGUGUAAAAGACGCCUAUGGCGACUGUAUUCUUCAGUCCUAUCCAUUCAAAGUAACAUUUAUGGACUUGGCGCUGAAGGACGAGGAGGAAAGAUUAGAGUGGUCAUCUCGGAAUCUCGGCAAGAAUGUCAUCCGGGUUCUCAGAGAGGUAGAAGAGCGGGGUCAGAAUCAUCGAAUUUGCAAUCUGUUUAUUCAAGAUGAUGACGUCAUGAACGAAUCUGAUCGAUCUUAUUUAGAAUGUACCCGGAUACUGGAUGAACUGGAGCGAAUGCACGAGUUGCACUGUCAGGAACCGCUUCCCAUGGUAUUUUUGCCUGGUGUCCUCAUGAUAAUGAUCAGCUUGAUGGCCUACUCCAAACAUAUGGUUGGCUUCAUGGAACUCUGGUCGAAAUCUACGAAUUAUCCCGACACGCCAGAGAAUUCUUGUAGUUUUUCACACUCAAUCGAGUAUUACCAUUAUUCGUCAAACAUGAGAGAUUCACGAACAAUUAUUAAUCGUUUCGAAAUUGUGCUUUAUGUAUUUCAAUGUAUGUUUAUGACUAUUAUGUGGUUCUCGAGACACGGAAGUGGCUUAUCGAUGGUGAGUAGAAAGGAGAGUGUUGGCAGUAGGCUCUACUUUGCAAUAUCAGUAUAUAUGAAAAUUGCCUCCGUGAUUUUCAUGCUAUACCCAUGUUUUAUUUUUCUUCCGGACUCUGACGAGUCUAAAAAGGUUGAUGAAGGAUGGCGUCUGCAGGUCAUAAUUUGGAUUCGGUUCGCCACGGUGCUUCCUGCUGUAUACAUGUCCCUUCGAAUCGAAUUGAAUGCAUGUCUGUCAUUAUUGCUCGACAGAGAUGUCGUAGUUUGUAUGGAUAGUUUCUUCGACCUCGCCAUUGACCGUUACAUACCAGCGUAUGUCGCAGAAGCCUCGACUGACAUGAAAGCGGAAUCUAAGGGGUGGUGUCAUCGGCUUGUUUUAGUCACAUUGGCUGUUUUUCCAUUGUUGUCCACGCCACUGAUGACUGCUCCUUACGUCUACCUCUGGCUUGAAAUCAACGGACGGUUACAGUCAUAUGUAUCUGUUGGUGAUAUUCUAAUCGGCAUGCUAUUGCUAUUGUUUUUUACCACAUUUUCUACUUGGCGAAUGCCGCUACGCCUGUUGUUUGCAAUGCUAAUAACUGCGAUGUUUUCAAUAGAAAUUUCAGCUGACAGUGUUUUAUGGGUCAAAUAUAUUUUCGCCAUUAUCAGCAUUUCAUGUGUAAUAUUAGCUUGUCGUAACAUCUAUACUUAUUUAAGAAACAUGAGACUAUCCAUAUUGUUUCAAAUAUCUUUAUUACCCGAGUGUCUCACGCAAGUGAUUCACGGCGUUGUCAUCAGUACUUUUAUGAUAGUAUGUAGCUUUCUUGUGUCAAGAUGUUUCCAUGUGCUUUCGGGAUUCGUCUUGGCCUGUGAAUUUGCAAACAUUGACCCAGUCAAGUUUCUUCCACUUAUAACACAAAUUGUGCUGGUUCUGUCAUUAACAACCUAUAUGUUCGCAGCUGGAAUAUCGUUGAGGUCAAAAUCAGUCAGACAGUACAUUGUAAAUAAUGAUAAACUUGGAUGGGUAUGUAUUCUCCUUGUAGUUUUUUUUUCUACUUAAGUAAUACGCACUGGCGUGACAUUUAAAUGCUGAAACCAAAGGUCGCACGCUGGAGUGUGAAUUCGGCUUAACGCGGGGAGUAAUCUUGUUCGUCGUCAAGCUUAGCUGAAUUUAAGUCAAUUUGUAUUCUAAAAUGCCUCUUCAUCUAAUAGCAUUGAAUAAAUGAGUGCUGUACAUGUGA